GGUCCUUCAGGGGCAGGAGAGCCGGGGCUGCCGGAUGGCUGAGGGACCAGCUUUAUGACAGCCAGGGGCCAUGCAGAGCCUGCAACAUAUUCGGUUAUCUCUUCAUGGAUCACGUCUUUUUCUUUGGAGGGUUGCCGAGCUGAGAGGGUCUGCAGGGGAUGCCGGGUGAGAGCUGCAGGGGCCUCUGGGAGCUGAG